UUGGGGAGAGCGGCCUGCAGCACCAUUAGUCAGCGGAGGAGCAUAUCAAUAAGCGGAGGAGCAUAUCAAUAGGCGGAGGAGCAUAUCAAUAAGCGGAGGAGCAUAUCAGUAAGCGGGAGCCGCGCCCGCCGAAGCGCUCUGUGAACCCUGAUGAAGAUGGGCUGUCUGAGUACUAUGAAAAUUGUCAAAACUUUCAACAAUGGAUCUCUUGGUUCCGGCAUCGAUGAAGAACGCAGCGAAAUGCGAUAAGUAAUGUGAAUUGCAGAAUUCCGUGAAUCAUCGAAUCUUUGAACGCACAUUGCGCCCCCUGGCAUUCCGGGGGGCAUGCCUGUCCGAGCGUCAUUUCUGCCCUCAAGCACGGCUUGUGUGUUGGGUGCGGUCCCCCCGGGGACCUGCCCGAAAGGCAGCGGCGACGUCCGUCUGGUCCUCGAGCGUAUGGGGCUUUGUCACUCGCUCGGGAAGGACUGGCGGGGGUUGGUCACCACCAAAAUUUUUACCACGGUUGACCUCGGAUCAGGUAGGAGUUACCCGCUGAACUUAAGCAUAUCAAUAAGCGGAAGAAA
rnacentral:rRNA from 1 species